UACGAAGGGUGCAAACGUUGCUCGGAAUUAUUGGGCGUAAAGCGCACGUAGGCGGCUUUGCAAGUCCCAUGUGAAAUCCCACGGCUCAACCGUGGAAGUGCAUGGGAAACUGCAGAGCUUGAGUACUUAAGAGGAUCGCGGAAUUCCCGGUGUAGAGGUGAAAUUCGUAGAUAUCGGGAGGAACACCAGUGGCGAAGGCGGCGAUCUGGGAAGAUACCGACGCUGAGGUGCGAAAGCGUGGGGAGCAAACAGG
rnacentral:rRNA from 1 species